rnacentral:rRNA from 1 species
CCUACGGGAGGCAGCAGUGGGGAAUCUUGCGCAAUGGGCGAAAGCCUGACGCAGCCAUGCCGCGUGAAUGAUGAAGGUCUUAGGAUUGUAAAAUUCUUUCACCGGGGACGAUAAUGACGGUACCCGGAGAAGAAGCCCCGGCUAACUUCGUGCCAGCAGCCGCGGUAAUACGAAGGGGGCUAGCGUUGCUCGGAAUUACUGGGCGUAAAGGGAGCGUAGGCGGAUAGUUUAGUCAGAGGUGAAAGCCCAGGGCUCAACCUUGGAAUUGCCUUUGAUACUGGCUAUCUUGAGUUUGGGAGAGGUGAGUGGAACUCCGAGUGUAGAGGUGAAAUUCGUAGAUAUUCGGAAGAACACCAGUGGCGAAGGCGACUCACUGGCCCAAUACUGACGCUGAGGCUCGAAAGCGUGGGGAGCAAACAGGAUUAGAUACCCUGGUAGUCCACGCCGUAAACGAUGAGUGCUAGUUGUCGGCAUGCAUGCAUGUCGGUGACGCAGCUACGCAUAAGACACUCCGCCGUCGGGAGGUACGGUCGCGAGAAUUAAACUACGAAAGAAGUUAGACGGCGUGAGACGUCGCCGACGGACGACGACGAGGGAGGUAGG